rnacentral:misc_RNA from 1 species
GUAGAAGCUGCGAAUCAGUCCCUCACAGCGAAACCCCUUCAAAUUGCCGGAAUCUCGAAGCGCCUCCGGUUCGAGCAUACCAGCGUCGAGGAUUUCUGUCAGAAGCCACACAAUAAAUCGGCCUACGAUGCAGUCGUCGCUUCGGAAAUUGUCGAACACGUCGCCGAUCUUCCCGGAUUCAUUGGCUGCCUCGCUGAGCUGGCUCGCCCCGGUGCCCCGCUCUUCAUCACAACUAUCAACAGAACGUGGCUGAGCAAAUUGGCAGCUAUUUGGCUUGCAGAGAAUGUACUCAAAAUCGUGCCGCCCGGAGUCCACGACUGGGAAAAAUUCAUCACACCCGCCGAGCUCACUUCACAUCUCGAAAAAGCGGGUUGCCGGGUGACGGCGGUGCAUGGAUUAAUGUUUCAUCCGGUUGGAAAUCACUGGACAUGGAUCGAAUCGACUCAGUGUAAUUACGGAAUUUUGGCAGUGAAGAAUUAG